AUGGAUUUGGCCUUUUUGUUGUUUCAGAAGGAAUCAUCGCGUCUCUCCGGCUGAGAGCACCGAUUUCUUGAUUACUAACAAAGUAACAGAGAUAACAAACUCCACUGAAGAGAUAACAGG